GCCAGGCGUGGUGGCUCACGCCUGUAAUCCCAGCACUUUGGGAGGCCGAGGCGGGUGGAUCACUUGAGGUCAGGAGUUUGAGACCAGCCUGGCCAACAUGGUGAAAUCCCGUCUCUA
rnacentral:SRP_RNA from 2 species